CAAGUCGCACGAGAAAGUGGAGCAAUCCAUGAGUACAGUGGCGUACGGGUGAGUAACACGUGGAUCAUCUGCCCUGGAGUGGGGAAUAACGCUGGGAAACCGGCGCUAAUACCGCAUAUUCCCGAGAGGGGAAAGCAGCAAUGCGCUCGAGGAGGAGUCCGCGGCCGAUUAGCUAGUUGGCAGGGUAAAAGCCUACCAAGGCUGCGAUCGGUAGCCGGCCUGAGAGGGCACACGGCCACACUGGCACUGAAACACGGGCCAGACUCCUACGGGAGGCAGCAGUGGGGAAUCUUGCACAAUGGGGGAAACCCUGAUGCAGCGACGCCGCGUGAGCGAUGAAGCCCUUCGGGGUGUAAAGCUCUUUCGGCAGGGACGAUUAUGACGGUACCUGCAGAAGCAGCUGCGGCUAACUACGUGCCAGCAGCCGCGGUAAUACGUAGGCAGCAAGCGUUGUUCGGAGUUACUGGGCGUAAAGGGUGCGUAGGCGGCCUGUUAAGUUCCGUGUGAAAUCUCCCGGCUCAACUGGGAGGGUGCGCGGAAAACUGGCGGGCUAGAGUGCGGGAUGGGAGAGUAGAAUUCCUGGUGUAGCGGUGAAAUGCGUAGAUAUCAGGAGGAAUACCGGUGGUGUAGACGGCUCUCUGGACCGUAACUGACGCUGAGACACGAAAGCGUGGGUAGCAAACAGGAUUAGAUACCCUGGUAGUCCACGCCCUAAACGAUGCAUAUUUGGUGUAGGUCAUUCAGUUGAUCUGUGCCGGAGCUAACGCGUUAAAUAUGCCGCCUGGGGAGUACAGUCGCAAGGCUGAAACUCAAAGGAAUUGACGGGGGCCCGCACAAGCGGUGGAGCAUGUGGUUCAAUU
rnacentral:rRNA from 1 species